rnacentral:lncRNA from 1 species
UCACCUUACCUCAAUCUUUAGUAGAAAAUUCUGGUUUUUAUAUGUUCUUCAUUCCUAAAGCUCUAAGUCCCAACCUCUUGCCGUUGCCUCUUUUCUCUCUUUUCCCAAGUUUGUACGAUCUGACAAAAACUCUAAACUAGAUUGUUUUUAAUUUAAAUAGUUAGGUUCCCAUCUUUAUAAAAUUACAGCUUAAAUCCACCAUUAAUUUCUUCU